AUUGAACGCUGGCGGCAGGCCUAACACAUGCAAGUCGAACGAGUGGCGGACGGGUGAGUAAUGUCUGGGCAACUGCCUGAUGGAGGGGUCUAACUACUGUAAACGGUAGCUACUACCGCAUACCAUCAGAUGUGCCCAGAUGGGAUUAGCUUGGUGGUGGGGUAACGGCUCACCAAGGCGACGCUCCCCAGCUGGUCUGAGAGGAUGACCAGCCACACUGGAACUGAGACACGGACCAGACUCCGACGGGAGGCAGCAUUGGGGAAGAUUCGGCAAUGGGCGCAAGCCUGAUGCAGCCAUGCCGCGUGUAUGAAGAAGGCCUUCGGGUUGUAAAGUACUUUCAGCGGAGAGGCGUUACCCGCAGAAGAAGCACCGGCUAACUCCGUGCCAGCAGCCGCGGUAAUUC
rnacentral:rRNA from 1 species